rnacentral:rRNA from 1 species
AACGAACGCUGGCGGCAGGCUUAACACAUGCAAGUCGAACGCCCCGCAAGGGGAGUGGCAGACGGGUGAGUAACGCGUGGGAAUGUGCCCCAAGGUACGGAACAACAGCGGGAAACUGCUGCUAAUACCGUAUGUGAACGAGAGGUGAAAGAUUUAUCGCCUUGGGAUCAGCCCGCGUUAGAUUAGGUAGUUGGCGGGGUAAUGGCCCACCAAGCCUACGAUCUAUAGCUGGUCUGAGAGGAUGAUCAGCCACACUGGGACUGAGACACGGCCCAGACUCCUACGGGUGGCAGCAGUGGGGAAUCUUGGACAAUGGGCGCAAGCCUGAUCCAGCCAUGCCGCGUGAAUGAUGAAGGCCUUAGGGUUGUAAAGUUCUUUCGUCGGGGACGAUAAUGACGGUACCCGAAGAAGAAGCCCCGGCUAACUUCGUGCCAGCAGCCGCCGCGG